AUCAACUUUCGAUGGUAGGAUAGAGGCCUACCAUGGUGGUAACGGGUAACGGGGUGUUAGGGCACGACACCGGAGAGGGAGCCUGAGAAACGGCUACCACAUCCAAGGAUGGCAGCAGGCGCGCAAAUUACCCAAUCCCGACACGGGGAGGUAGUGACAAUAAAUAACAAUACGGGGUUCUUUAGGAUCUCGUAAUUGGAAUGAGUACAAUUUAAAUCUCUUAACGAGGAACAAUUGGAGGGCAAGUCUGGUGCCAGCAGCCGCGGUAAUUCCAGCUCCAAUAGCGUAUAUUAAAGUUGUUGCAGUUAAAAAGCUCGUAGUUGAAUUUCGGGGUUAGUAGGUUGGUCAUGCCUCUGGUAUGUACUGGUCUCACUGAUUCCUCCUUCCUUAUGAACCGUAAUGCCAUUAAUUUGGUGUUGCGGGGAAUUUGGACUGUUACUUUGAAAAAAUUAGAGUGUUUGAAGCAAGCUAACGCUUGAAUACAUUAGCAUGGAAUAAUGAAAUAGGACGUUCGAUCUUAUUUUGUUGGUUUCUAGGAUUGACGUAAUGAUUAAUAGGGAUAGUUGGGGGCAUUAGUAUUCAAUUGUCAGAGGUGAAAUUCUUGGAUUUAUUGAAGACUAACUACUGCGAAAGCAUUUGCCAAGGAUGUUUUCAUUAAUCAAGAACGAAAGUUAGGGGAUCGAAGACGAUCAGAUACCGUCGUAGUCUUAACCAUAAACUAUGCCGACUAGGGAUCGGAUGAUGUUAAUUCUUUAAUGACUCAUUCGGCGCCUUACGGGAAACCAAAGUGUUUGGGUUC
rnacentral:rRNA from 1 species